UACGGAAGGGGCAAGCGUUGUUCGGAAUCAUUGGGCGUAAAGGGCGCGUAGGUGGUUCUGUAUGUCUACCGUGAAAGCGUACGGCUCAACCGUAUUUUGUCGGUGGAUACUGCUGAGCUCGAGUCCGGAAGAGGCGAGUGGAAUUCCUGGUGUAGCGGUGAAAUGCGCAGAUAUCAGGAGGAACACCAAUGGCGAAGGCAGCACUCUGGGACGGUACUGACGCUGAGACGCGAAAGCGUGGGGAGCAAACAGG
rnacentral:rRNA from 1 species